rnacentral:sRNA from 1 species
ACUUAUCUGUGGAUACUGGUGAUAUGGAUCUUGACUUAUAUAUGUUUUAAUUUACAGAGGGUCACACGCAAUCCGCGCCAACGAAACUAUCUAUUGAACAUUAAUCCAGACAGUCGGUAUGACCAGAAUGUGUUACACAUAAGUCAGCGGAAGGAGCUAGAUAGCACUUGUAUUCAGGAAAAGUCCCGUACACGUACUGUUGAACGGCAAUCCAUAAAGGCCAAGCCGUUACAUGUAGAAAACCUGAGAGUUUUCUUCGGAUCCAAAGCGGCGGUUAAGCAUAUAAAUUUCAUGGUCGAGUGGUACCAAAUUUUGAGCGUUUGCGGGGAAAAUGGAGCUGGCAAAACAGUGUUGAUAAAAGCAAUUCUAGGCAACAUAAGUGUCUUUAAUAACCAGCCCAGCGAACAUGAAUACUGUAUUCAUACCGCCUAUAGUGCUCAGGUUGAUGAAAUAUUGGAUCCGCUGACGGUAUUAGAAUCUAUUGAAAUGGUGCUGGCAAUUCGUGGGUUAAAAAAUGUAAAUCUGAAAAACUCGGCACUGGCUUUGUGCAGGAUCUUUGACUUAUACAAUUUUCGGUUAUUUUCGCUUACCUCAUGCAGUCUUGGUGUACUAAAGCGUUUAAGUAUUGCAAUAGCUCUAACUGGCUAUGCUGAUUUAAUCUUGCUGGACGACCCUUUUUCCCACCUGGAUAUAAUCAGCCAAAACAAAAUUCAUCAUUUGAUAGAAGCGAUAUGCAGACAAGGCUACUCAGUGGUCUUCACUUGCUCUAAUACUCUGAACUCUCAAACCGUUCCACGCAUUGCUACAAUUAGUAACUCAAAUAUGACCGCUAUUGGUGAACGGCAGGAGCUGUUGGGAAUGAAUUUAACAUACUACGUCGUCGAAGCACAAAUCGAUAUUCAUAGGCUUUCAGAGCAUAAAUCACUAAGGGAGGGGCUCUACCGAAGAUCAAAAUUUAAUAGAAGUAAUCCUAAUGUUGACGGAACUGUCCAGACUUGGCCAACAGUAGUUCACCCUAAGUCUGAGAGAGAACACACAAUUCAUUUUAUGAUGUGCCGUAUAAUUGAAAAAAUAUUUCCACAUGCGAUUGUUAAGACAGCGAGUAUUCAGACGGCACAUGUU